CAGACAUCGGUGGCCUUCGAAAGCUCUCAGGACAGGUGGCCUUCGGCGCCGAGGAAGAGCAAGGCCCCUGCGAACGCCGUGCGUCCUUCCCCGCGCGGUGCGCUCCAGCAUCCGGGGACAGCCAGGCUGUGCUCACCGCGCCAGGACGUCCAGGAGCGCGCCCGCCUGCACCUUCACGCCUCUCCGUUCCCCGAAGAGUCUCCGAGCUGGAGCCACAAGCCCCACCAUUCCUCCCAGAGUCUUCGACCCGAGGGUUCAGUUACCUGUGGUCAACCAAGGUCAACUGCGGUCCAGAAGCAGAUGAUCCUCCUUCUGAGAAAUGGUCAGAAGGCCAACAGUAGCCUCACGCUACAUCACAGUGCCUACGUCAUUCAUCUCACUUCAUCUCAUCCCGUAGGCACUGGGUCAUCUCACAUCAUCCCGAGAAGAAGGUGCCGGAGGUCAGAAGUCUAAAAUCGAGGUGUCAGCGGGGCUGGUUCCUUCUGGAGCUUCAGAGGAGAGUCUGUUUCCAGGCCUUCCCAGUUUCUCGAGGCUGCCCACGUUCCCGGGCUCCUGCCCUUUCCUCCCAUCACGCCAACAUCUUGCUUCCAUGGUCAUCGUAUCUUCUGUCAUCAGAUCUCCCUCUGCCUCCCUCUUAUAAGGACCUUAGAUUACAUUGAGCCCACCUGGAUAAUCGAGGAUAAUCUCCCCAUCUCAAGAUCCUUGACUUAAUCACAUCUGGAAAGUCCCUUUUGCCCUAUAGGGCAACACUCACAGGCUCUAGGGAUGAGGGCCUGGAGAUGGUUGGGCGUUACUGAGCCAGCCAUGGUUCCCCCAAGACUUUGACCUGCUAAUUCUUCUGCCUGGACAGCCUUUCUGCCCAAGAUCUGCUUAAGAGGCUCCUUCACAGCUACUGUGUAAAUUUGGGCAAUUUGCUUAACCUCUUGCACUUCAGUCUCCUCAUGUGGAAUGUGAGGAUAAUAAUAGAUCCAGCUUAUUAUGUUUUUGUGUAGAUGAAGUGAGUUAAUAUAUGGAAAACACUUGGAGCAGCACCUGGAAUAUUAUAAGCAGUCCAAAAUAACUAGCCUUUUGUUGUUGUUGUGAUCAUUGUUGCUUUUGUCACCUAGGUCUCUAUUCCAAUGUCAGCUCUGCAAAAAUAUCUUUCCUGGCUACCCUCUCUAAAGUAAUCCCUCUAGUAAUUCUCUACGUAUCUCUUUGUUUCAUUUUUUUUUUCAUAGCAAUGGUCACAAUCUCACGUUAUCCAUAUGUGGUGUAUACUUAUUUACUCUAUUUACUUAUUGUUUUUCAUCUGCUUCCUCCACUAGAAUGUAAGCUCCAUGUCUCACUUAUCACUGAUUCCCCAGCACCCAGCAUGAUGCUUGGCACAUAGUGGGCCCACAGUAAACAUCUAUUGAAUGAACAAAUCAAACUCCCAGCCCUGCAUUGUCCAAUAGAGCAGCCACUAGCCACACAUGACCACUGAGCCCUUGAAAUGCGGCUGUUCCAAACUGAGAUGUGGCGGAAGUGCACAAUGCACAUCAAAUGUAGAAAUCUCGUUAAUGAUUUUCAUAUUGUUUACAUGUUAAAAUGAUAAUAAUUUGGAUACAUUGGGUUAAAUAAAAUAUAUAAACAUCAAUUCCAGCUGUUUCUUUUUACUUUUUAAUACUGGUACUAAAAAAAUUAAAACUGCACAUGUGAUUCAGAUUACAUUUCUGCUGGAUGGCACUGCCCCAGAAAGCCCUUAUCACGUGUGCUCUAAAGUUCAACUGUCUGGGUUUGAAUCCUCGAUCCACCAUUUACUAGCUGUGUGACCAUAGGCAGGUUACUUACUUCUUUCGAUAAAUUAACAUUUACAUUAUGAUCUACAUAAACUAUCAUUAGCCAAGUUCUAAAGAAGAACUUAUUUUUUGUCCUAGAAGUUCAGAGCUUUGUAAAUGUUUGCCAGCAGAAAAAAAGACUAAUAUGAAUCUGGAAAAAUCUGCU
ensembl:lncRNA